GGCUUUAUAGUCAAUAAUGAUAUUAGACUGCAAUUCUAAAGGAGUAUGUUAAUACUAAGGCUU
rnacentral:tRNA from 3 species